AAUUAUUCAAUCAAUGAAAUCAGAUUCUUCUUUACAAAAUGCUCUUUUUUCUUCUUUUACUUCUUUUUUUUCUUUUUUUUUUUUUGUCAAUGAUUUGUGUUGUGACGCUCUUAUUUUUCGACAAUAGUGCCCUGCCAAAGCUCUUCCCCUACUGCAUGGGAUUUCUUUGAAGUCUAUGAUCCGGAAUCUGAGAAGGAAAGUUCGUUACCUAACAAAAAAAUCAAAGAUGGACGAUGAACUUCAUAAGC
rnacentral:lncRNA from 1 species